UACGGAGGGGGCUAGCGUUGUUCGGAAUUACUGGGCGUAAAGCGCGCGUAGGCGGACCUGCAAGUCGGGGGUGAAAGCCCGAGGCUCAACCUCGGAACUGCCUUCGAUACUGCGGGUCUCGAGUCCGGGAGAGGUGAGUGGAAUUCCUAGUGUAGAGGUGAAAUUCGUAGAUAUUAGGAAGAACACCAUUGGCGAAGGCGGCCACCUGGCUCGGUACUGACGCUCAGGUUCGAAAGCGUGGGGAGCAAACAGG
rnacentral:rRNA from 1 species